rnacentral:tmRNA from 1 species
GGGGUCGACUGGUAUUGACAGCGAGUCGAAUUAAAGAGUAAGCAGGUCGAGCGCUGAAUUAUAGCUCGUAAAUCUCAUAUUUCACAAUUUUAAAUGGCGAGAAUAACUACGCUCUAGCUGCAUAAUAACUGAAUCAUAGUAAGUUAAUGCCAAGUUCCAGCAAGGCUGGAAAGCAAGAUGUCUCUAAAUAGCCCUUGUUGACGGCGAUUUGUCAUGAGGCACCAUAAAGGUCAACAUCGAAAUGCUGGAGCAUCAACAGCAUUUUUCAAUUGUGAUGCUAAGAUCUGUAUGGGUGGUUUUCGGUCAGUGCAGAUUCGAAAAUUAAACGAAAUCUAAACUUGUAGAAAGCUUUUUUAUCACUUGUUUGGACGCGGGUUCGAAUCCCGCCGACUCCACA